GAAGCAGCAACAUGCAGCAGAGACACUCAACCAGCCCCAUGGGGAAGGCCACGCAAGGAGGGUCUGAGCACCAGCCUGGCAGCUGUGUGAGGGCACCGCCUGGGGAGUGAGCCACCCAGCCCCAGUCCAACCUUCAGAUGAGCCUGAGGCCUGACCAGCACCUGGCUGAUACUCCAUGAGAGAUCUUAAGUGAGAAAUGCCCCAUCAGGUCCUUCCCAAAUAUCUGACUGAGACAGACAGUGAGAGAAGAGAAGUCCAGGCUCGGGGUAGUGAGCUCCUCGUCCAGCAAGAACAAAGCAGGUCUGCGGGAGCCCAAGGAACGUGGCCUUCACCCGGUGCUGCGCUGGUGGUGACCUUGGAAGUCCCAGCCGCGGAUCCACGUUGGGGACAGGGCAGCGCCCGCAGGCUGAGGGAUACCAUAGCCCUGGCACCAGGCCUCGGCCCCGCCUUCCCAUCCAUGGCCCUCCCUCUGCACAGGGCUGACUCCAGCC